rnacentral:rRNA from 1 species
AUGGUGGUGGUGGCGACCGCGAGCCCCGGCGGGCCCGAGGCGCUGCAGGUGCGCGAGGUCGAGGACCUCCCGGCGCCGGGGGAGGGCGAGGUGCUUGUCGGGGUGGCCGCCGCCGGCGUCAAUCGCGGCGACACGGUCCAGUGGCAGGGCCGGUACCCGCCGCCUCGCCCGACCCGGGGCUCGAGUGCUCCGGCACCAUCGUUGCUCUCGGGGCCGCGCUGGGCCGUCGUGCUUACCGGCGGCGGGUAUGCGGAGAAGGUGGUGGUUCCGGCAGGGCAGCUGCUCCCGGUGACGGAGGGGGCGUCGCUGACUGACAGCCCGAGGUGGCCUCCACCGCCUGGUCCACCAUUUUCAUGCCAGUCACCUCUCCCUCGGUGA